UUACAACAUAUUCAAAAAUUGAGGAAUAACUCUAUCCAUUAUUCAUGAUGGUGAUCAAUUACAAAAAAUUUCUGGCGAGAUUUAUGUUUUGAAAAAGCAACUGGAGAAAAACUUUUUUGAAAAGAAACACGAUAGAAAAGUCAAAAAAUACAUACAGUCAGGUGAUACUGAUUGCCCCUUUUUUCUUUUACCUGUAAGCUUCAAUGAUGCUGGAGGUUCGUUGACAAAAUCAUCGUCUGAAUUCUGUCCAGAAAGUGCUUUGUUCAUCAAUAUCAUCAUUUGGCUCUAAUUGAACACCUUCGUAUGAAUUUUCAACACCUUUGGGUGGCAACUAGAACAACAAUUUCCAUCAGAGAAGGGACAAUAUUCUUUGGUUUAAUUUGAACACGAGAUUAAACACAAUAAUUAAUGAAAUAAAGGAUAUACAUGAAAUGAAAACAAUUACAACGGUAUACUUUCGUUAAUUAUCCACAAUACCUCUCUAUUACCAUCAUAGAAUGUGUCUUUCAUCAAUAUUUUGAAUCAAGAUUUUUCUUCUACUA